GCACCAACCUCGUCGCCAUUAUCCGUUACCCGGACACGGCCGAGAGCCCUUCCCCUCCCUCGCGUCCGCUGCUGCGCCAGUCGGAUCUCACACCGCGCCGCCGCUGCUAGCGAGGCUACUCCUUCCUGGGCCGGCGAGCUCGCCAGCUCUGUGCCAUGGAAGGCCGCGGUCUCCGGCGCGCUCGCCCUCGCCGUUUGCUUCACUUGCUGUAAGCUCGCUUCGUUCUCAAGUUUGCGAUGCUUGGUGGAACAGUCCUGAGUAGAGGAUGGCUGGAGGAUAUUGGUGCUUAUAUCUUUUCUUGCUAGCAUGUCUAGUGAAAAAAGAAGCAUAAAUAUAUUUUUUAUCAGUAAAAUUGCCUUCUAUUUAUCAUAUAGUGUCAUGUCAUGUAACAUAUGGCACUUGCAGUCGUUGGUUCGGCCAAUGCUAGGACUGGGGUAAACAAACCAGAACUGCUUCCUAAAGAAUUUACUACCGUCAUUGAUGUUGCUGGUUUUCUUUCCUCAGGCCAGGAACAAGCAGAACAUUCUGGCUUAUAUAGGAUAAAAUUGUCUGAUGGAGGCACUUUACAUUCUACUGAUUGGAUUUCUUUAUGACCCGUUCGUAUAAUCUUGCAAUAUAUAUUUGAUGAAUAGUCAUGCCAACUCUUAUAUUAUAAUGAAGACGGAUACUUGUCUGGCUUACUUUUGUUCCACCUGAAAAACGCACCAUCUUGUUAUUUCCACAUCAAUUAUAGAUGUGGAUUGUUUGUUCUUAGGAAAACCGUUUGCGCCAAGAGAUAGAAGACCUGGAGAAGGAUACAGGGUACAAACUGCGAGUUCUUGCACAAAAUUAUCCCGAUACCCCUGGAUUGGCUAUCAAAGAUUUUUGGCAGGUUGAUGAGCGUACUAUUGUUUUUGUUGCUGAUCCAACCUUUGGCAACAUAAUAAAUUUCAACGUUGGCCCAUUAGUUGAUUUAGAUGUCCCUCGGAGCUUUUGGAGUCAGGUUUCAGGGGAGUAUGGGAACAUGUUCUACUGGAAAGAAAAGGGAGAGGAUGCAUCGAUUGAAGCUGCCGUGACGGAAAUUUCACGCUGUCUAAGAGACCCCAGCGGGACAAAUAAUUGUUCGGAGGUGCUAUAGGAAGCAAGGGGUUAUCGUUGCCGAAAGAAACAUGGAAAGUCUUCUGAACACGAUAUCCAGUAUACCAAAAAACUAUUAACAAAUUACUUCUGUGAAAAAAUAAUAAAAUCAUGGCGCAAUGACACAUACUACUAUGACUAGAUCACUAAAAAA